rnacentral:lncRNA from 1 species
GUAAAUGAUUCACAAUUAAUAUUUUUUUUUCUUUCAGUCUUGACGAUAAAAUCAGGUUAGAACUUCAGUUGUUGGCAUGCCGAUGCAGCAAGCCUCAUAAUUCAACCUGCUAGUUAAAAUAAUGCCAGCUGGGAACUGAUGCUGUGCUUCUUAAGCUCCUACCACUGUAAACGAGCGCGAAUCUGCCUAUAGAUGCCUGUUGCUUGGUAGCUUUCCUUGCAAGGUGAAGGCUGCAGUGUGUGCACCCUGUGCUAUGCAGUUGAGGGAAGAAGGAAACAAGAAUAUUCAGGCUGCCAGAGAACAAAUGGCAAGGACAAAGAGCAAAGAGAAAUACUAGCAGUGAUUUUACCCAUGAUGACUGUCAUUACAACCAUUGUACCUGCCUGCCAGAGCUUUGCUUUGUGCCGCUUUCAAAGUCUACUUUUGCCUAAGUUUGGACUAGAAGACCUUGGAAGAACACUGGCAUGGAGUGUCAGGUGGUCUGAAGAAAGAUUACCAAGAUGCUGGUGGCAAUAGUUAUUCUAGUUCUGCAGUCUGAAACUAAAUCAACAGCUUUAUCAGCAAGGCUGAAUUUUAAGGAGAGCUACACUAGGAACUGAUGUCAACAGUGCUGGAGGAUGGGCUUUGAGGCUUAAGUUCUGAGGCUAUAUUUUCCUUCCAGUGAAACCAACGCAGUUUUAGAGAAGACUUAACGGGAAGAGGGGUCUUUAUUUGAACUUUUCACUGUUGCUUUUUAAUAAACUAGUUCGUGUGGCCUCUUUAACA